AGAGUUAAACAGUACGUGAAAUUGUUGAAAGGGAAACGAUUGAAGUCAGUCAUGCUAGUAGGAAAUCAACUUGGUGUUGCGAGUUUCUUGCUCCUCUUCGUGUACUUUCUUGCUUGGCAGGUUAGCAUCAAUUUUAGUUGUCAUCAAAGAAUUGGGGGAAUGUGGCUUCUCUUCGGAGAAGUGUUAUAGACCUUGAUAGAUGUGACGACUGGGAUUGAGGAUUGCAGCGGAUACCUUUGGCUAGUCAUCUGUCUUCUGGCGGUCACCUCGCUUUUGACAGCUUGCUGAUGAUUGUGGGAUUUGGCAGUCUAGAAGUUAGAAUGAUCAUAAAUUCGCUAAGGAUGCUGACGUAAUGGCUUUAAACGA
rnacentral:misc_RNA from 1 species